UACGAAGUGGGCUAGCGUUGUUCGGAAUCACUGGGCGUAAAGGGCGCGUAGGCGGUCAGCACAAGUCAGUUGUGAAAUCUCCGGGCUUAACUCGGAACGGUCAACUGAUACUGUGCGACUAGAGUGCAGAAGGGGCAACUGGAAUUCCGCGUGUAGCAGUGAAAUGCGUAGAUAUCGAGAGGAACACCUGCGGCGAAGGCGGGUUGCUGGGCUGACACUGACGCUGAAGCGCGAAAGCUAGGGGAGCGAACGGG
rnacentral:rRNA from 1 species